rnacentral:lncRNA from 1 species
GCCAAGGCAGGCAGAUCACAAGGUCAGGAGUUCAAGACCAGCCUGGCCAACAUGAUGAAACCCCGUCUCUACUAAAAAUACAAAAAUUAGCUGGGUAUGGUGGCGUGCACCUGUAAUCCCAGUUACUGGGGAGGCUGAGGCAGGAGAAUUGCUUGAACCCAGGAGGUAGAGGUUGCAGUGAGCCAAGAUCAUGCUACUGCACUCCAGCCUGGCGACAGAGCAAGGCUCUGUCUCAAAAAAAAGCACAGGAAGCUGUGGGCUGGAAACCUAAUGUUGAAAUAGACCUUAUAUUUUAUAUGGUUCUAAGUUGGAGGCAAUUUGAUCCUAUUUAGGAAUGAUUGCUUUUAUAUUUGCUACUGGUUAUAGAAUCAUGCUGAUUUACUUCAUAUCUGGAAUAAAUAUUUAAGGACAAAUUCUGCAUUUCUCAAACAUAUUAAAAGGGAUCACAUGGUCAAAUACCCAAAGUUUGGGAAACACAGACUAUAUGGUAAACAUUUGCAAAAGGUGUAUAUGGAAUGCAAUUAAUGAGAUAACAGGAAUUUGGCAGUAGAAACACUAGUGUGUUAAAACAUUUACAGUUUUCUCUACAAUCCAGUCUAGGAGUUAAGAACAUCUUAAUCUCAAUUCACAGUCCCAACUAUAUCACAAAUUGUAUCUCCUUUUUUUUUUUUUAAGAGACAGAGUCAUGCUCU